rnacentral:misc_RNA from 1 species
UCCGAGUUGACCCCGGCAGUCUCCUAUGAGUCCCCGCCAUAACGCGCUGGUAACUAAGGGCAAAGGUUUCGCUCGUUAAGGGACUUAACCCGACAUCUCAAGACACGAGCUGACGACAGCCAUGCAGCACCUGUACCAGUUCCACCCCGAAGGGCGUACUCCGCUUUCACGGAGAUAAUCCUGGCGAGUCAAACCCAGGUAAGGUUCUGCGCGUUGCUUCGAAUUGAACCACAUGCUCCACCGCUUGUGUGAGCCCCCGUCAAUUCCUUUGAGUUUUAGCCUUGCGACCGUACUUCCCAGGCGGUCGACUUAGCACUUUUGCUUCGACCGUGAUAACGUCAGAGCUACCACGAUCUAGUCGACAUCGUUUAGGGCCAGGACUAC